CUACAAGGAGGCAGGCAAGACAGCAAGGCAUAGAGACAACAUAGAGCUAAGUAAAGCCAGUGGAAAUGAAGAGUCUUCCAAUCCUACUGUUGCUGUGCGUGGCAGUUUGCUCAGCCUAUCCAUUGGAUGGAGCUGCAAGGGGUGAGGACACCAGCAUGAACCUUGUUCAGAAAUAUCUAGAAAACUACUACGACCUCAAAAAAGAUGUGAAACAGUUUGUUAGGAGAAAGGACAGUGGUCCUGUUGUUAAAAAAAUCCGAGAAAUGCAGAAGUUCCUUGGAUUGGAGGUGACGGGGAAGCUGGACUCCGACACUCUGGAGGUGAUGCGCAAGCCCAGGUGUGGAGUUCCUGAUGUUGGUCACUUCAGAACCUUUCCUGGCAUCCCGAAGUGGAGGAAAACCCACCUUACAUACAGGAUUGUGAAUUAUACACCAGAUUUGCCAAAAGAUGCUGUUGAUUCUGCUGUUGAGAAAGCUCUGAAAGUCUGGGAAGAGGUGACUCCACUCACAUUCUCCAGGCUGUAUGAAGGAGAGGCUGAUAUAAUGAUCUCUUUUGCAGUUAGAGAACAUGGAGACUUUUACCCUUUUGAUGGACCUGGAAAUGUUUUGGCCCAUGCCUAUGCCCCUGGGCCAGGGAUUAAUGGAGAUGCCCACUUUGAUGAUGAUGAACAAUGGACAAAGGAUACAACAGGGACCAAUUUAUUUCUCGUUGCUGCUCAUGAAAUUGGCCACUCCCUGGGUCUCUUUCACUCAGCCAACACUGAAGCUUUGAUGUACCCACUCUAUCACUCACUCACAGACCUGACUCGGUUCCGCCUGUCUCAAGAUGAUAUAAAUGGCAUUCAGUCCCUCUAUGGACCUCCCCCUGACUCCCCUGAGACCCCCCUGGUACCCACGGAACCUGUCCCUCCAGAACCUGGGACGCCAGCCAACUGUGAUCCUGCUUUGUCCUUUGAUGCUGUCAGCACUCUGAGGGGAGAAAUCCUGAUCUUUAAAGACAGGCACUUUUGGCGCAAAUCCCUCAGGAAGCUUGAACCUGAAUUGCAUUUGAUCUCUUCAUUUUGGCCAUCUCUUCCUUCAGGCGUGGAUGCCGCAUAUGAAGUUACUAGCAAGGACCUCGUUUUCAUUUUUAAAGGAAAUCAAUUCUGGGCUAUCAGAGGAAAUGAGGUACGAGCUGGAUACCCAAGAGGCAUCCACACCCUAGGUUUCCCUCCAACCGUGAGGAAAAUCGAUGCAGCCAUUUCUGAUAAGGAAAAGAACAAAACAUAUUUCUUUGUAGAGGACAAAUACUGGAGAUUUGAUGAGAAGAGAAAUUCCAUGGAGCCAGGCUUUCCCAAGCAAAUAGCUGAAGACUUUCCAGGGAUUGACUCAAAGAUUGAUGCUGUUUUUGAAGAAUUUGGGUUCUUUUAUUUCUUUACUGGAUCUUCACAGUUGGAGUUUGACCCAAAUGCAAAGAAAGUGACACACACUUUGAAGAGUAACAGCUGGCUUAAUUGUUGAAAGAGAUAUGUAGAAGGCACAAUAUGGGCACUUUAAAUGAAGCUAAUAAUUCUUCACCUAAGUCUCUGUGAAUUGAAAUGUUCGUUUUCUCCUGCCUGUGCUGUGACUCGAGUCACACUCAAGGGAACUUGAGCGUGAAUCUGUAUCUUGCCGGUCAUUUUUAUGUUAUUACAGGGCAUUCAAAUGGGCUGCUGCUUAGCUUGCACCUUGUCACAUAGAGUGAUCUUUCCCAAGAGAAGGGGAAGCACUCGUGUGCAACAGACAAGUGACUGUAUCUGUGUAGACUAUUUGCUUAUUUAAUAAAGACGAUUUGUCAGUUAUUUUAUCUU
rnacentral:misc_RNA from 1 species